rnacentral:rRNA from 1 species
AUUGAACGCUGGCGGCGGGCUUAACACAUGCAAGUCGAGCGGAGAGAGGUAGCUUGCUACUGAUCUUAGCGGCGGACGGGUGAGUAAUGCUUAGGAAUCUGCCUAUUAGUGGGGGACAACAUUUCGAAAGGAAUGCUAAUACCGCAUACGUCCUACGGGAGAAAGCAGGGGAUCUUCGGACCUUGCGCUAAUAGAUGAGCCUAAGUCGGAUUAGCUAGUUGGUGGGGUAAAGGCCUGCCAAGGCGACGAUCUGUAGCGGGUCUGAGAGGAUGAUCCGCCACACUGGGACUGGGACACGGCCCAGACUCCUACGGGAGGCAGCAGUGGGGAAUAUUGGACAAUGGGCGGAAGCCUGAUCCAGCCAUGCCGCGUGUGUGAAGAAGGCCUUAUGGUUGUAAAGCACUUUAAGCGAGGAGGAGGCUACUUUAGUUAAUACCUAGAGAUAGUGGACGUUACUCGCAGAAUAAGCACCGGCUAACUCUGUGCCAGCCGCCGCGGUAACAC